AUGUCCCAAUACUAGUGGGGAGACGAGGAUGUGAAGAAGCAUAUGCACUGGUUUGCGUGGUGGAAAAUGUGUGUCCCAAAGAGGAACGGAGGUAUGGGUUUUAGAGAUCUUCACUGUUUUAAUUUGGCGUUGUUGGCAAAGCAAUGUUGGAGACUCCUGUCAGAACCAGAUUCUUUGUGUGCUAGAGUAUUAAGAGCCAAGUACUUCCCAGAUGGGGACAUCCUAAACUGCAACCUUAAAAAGGGUAGUUCCUAUACAUGGCAGAGUCUUUGGAGCGGUAUCCAAACGUUUAAAAGAGGCCACAUCUGGAGAGUAGGAGAUGGAACAAAAAUAAAUAUAUGGGACGAUCCGUGGGUUCUAGUAGCCUAG
rnacentral:rRNA from 1 species